GGAGGGGUGUAUCGUUGAGAGCGUCACACUUAUAAUAAGUUAUAUAAUGUGCAAAUUUAAAUUUAAUUAGAUUUCAAUACGAACAUCAAUAUCAGAUGAAAAAAAAAGAAGUUGAAACAAGGAUUGAAAAGGUAGAUCAAAAUAAUUAUAAUUUUAAUUCUUUGGUUAUUGUUAAAUUUUAAUGUGAUCCUUUGAUAUUUUAUUAAACGUAUUUAAUAUUGAAUCAAUUACAAUAUGUGAGAAGUAGAAGAAAAAUGAGAAAAGAGGAGGGGAGAUACUAAAUUUAUG
rnacentral:lncRNA from 1 species